AACCCGGGACUUGCCGUUGAAACUGAUAAUCUUGAGUGUAACUGAUGUGGGCGGAAUGUGUCAAGUAGCGGUGAAAUGCAUAGAUAUGACACAGAACACCGAUAGCGAAGGCAGCUCACAAAAUUACAACUGACACUGAGGCACGAAAGCGUGGGUAUCAAACAGGAUUAGAUACCCUGGUAGUCCACGCUGUAAACGAUGAUCACUAGCUGUUUGCGAUACAUUGUAAGUGGUUAAGCGAAAGCGAUAAGUGAUCCACCUGGGGAGUACGUCGGCAACGAUGAAACUCAAAGGAAUUGACGGGGGCCCGCACAAGCGGAGGAGCAUGUGGUUUAAUUCGAUGAUACGCGAGGAACCUUACCUGGGCUUGAACGUAUGGUGCAUGAGUGUGAAAGCACUCUUUCCUUCACAGGACUUCAUACGAGGUGCUGCAUGGUUGUCGUCAGCUCGUGCCGUGAGGUGUUAGGUUAAGUCCUGCAACGAGCGCAACCCCUGUUUUUAGUUGCCAGCAGGUUAUGCUGGGCACUCUAGAAAGACUGCCUGCGCAAGCAGAGAGGAAGGUGGGGAUGACGUCAAAUCAGCACGGCCCUUACGUCCAGGGCUACACACGUGCUACAAUGGUCGGCACAGAGGGUGGCUACCCGACAACGGGAUGCUAAUCUCCAAAGUCGAUCUUAGUUCGGAUCGAAGUCUGCAACUCGACUUCG
rnacentral:rRNA from 1 species